rnacentral:misc_RNA from 1 species
AAUUCUCAACCUUAGAAGGCUUUGUCUUUUCUAAGGCUUGGAUGUGGAGGUUGCGGGCUUUCUAAGUCGGCUCCUCUGAAAUGCAUUAGCUGGGUUUGCGCCUUCAGCCUAUUGGUGUGAUAAUUAUCUACGCCUCUUGGGUCGUUAGCGUGUAUAAAUCUUUCCAGCUUCUAACCGUCCGUAAGGACAACACUUGACC